rnacentral:rRNA from 1 species
CCUACGGGAGGCAGCAGUAGGGAAUUUUGCGCAAUGGGCGAAAGCCUGGCGCAGCAACGCCGCGUGAACGAGACGCCCUUCGGGGUGUAAAGUCCUGUCAGUGGGGACGAAAAAUGCCGGUACCCACUCAGGAAGCACCGGCAAAUACCGUGCCAGCACCCGCGGUACUACGGGGGGUGCAAGCGUUCUCCGGAUUUAUUGGGUUAAAGGGGUGCGAAGGUGGGCGGUUAAGUCAGCGGUAAAAGCCCGGGGCUCAACCCCGGCGAGACGUUGAAACCGGCAGGCUUGAGAUGUCGAGAGGUAAGCGGAAUGCGCGGUGUAGCGGUGAAAUGCUUAGAUAUUGCGCAGAACUCCGAUUGCGAAGGCAGCAUACCGGCGGCGAUCUGACGCUGAGGAACGAAAGCGUGGGUAUCGAACAGGAUUAGAUACCCGUGUAGUC